rnacentral:rRNA from 1 species
AUACGUAGGGGGCUAGCGUUAUCCGGAACUACUGGGCGUAAAGGGUGCGUAGGUGGUUUCUUAAGUCAGAAGUGAAAGGCUACGGCUCAACCGUAGUAAGCUUUUGAAACUAAGAGACUUGAGUGCAGGAGAGGAGAGUAGAAUUCCUAGUGUAGCGGUGAAAUGCGUAGAUAUUAGGAGGAAUACCAGUUGCGAAGGCGGCUCGCUGGACUGUAACUGACACUGAGGCACGAAAGCGUGGGGAGCAAACAGGAUUAGAUACCCUGGUAGUCCACGCCGUAAACGAUGAGUACUAGCUGUCGGGGGUUACCCCCCUCGGUGGCGCAGCUAACGCAUUAAGUACUCCGCCUGGGGAGUACGGCCGCAAGGCUGAAACUCAAAUGAAUUGACGGGG